rnacentral:rRNA from 1 species
UACGGAGGGGGCUAGCGUUAAUCGGAAUUACUGGUCGUAAAGCGUGCGCAGGCGGUUUUGUAAGUCAGAUGUGAAAUCCCCGGGCUUAACCUGGGAACUGCGUUUGAAACUACAAGGCUAGAGUGUAGCAGAGGGGGGUGGAAUUCCACGGGUAGCAGUGAAAUGCGUAGAGAUGUGGAGGAAAACCGAUGGCGAAGGCAGCCCCCUGGGUUAACACUGACGCUCAGGCACGAAAGCGUGGGGAGCAAACAGG